rnacentral:misc_RNA from 1 species
GUGAGUCAUCGAAUCUUUGAACGCACAUUGUGCCCUUUGGUAUUCCGAAGGGCAUGCCUGUUCGAGCGUCAUUAUCAAAUUAUCAAGCUUGGCUUGUUUGUUGGGCCCUUUUGUCACCUGGUGAUAGGUCCAAAAGAUAAUGACCGGUGUCGUAAAGACUAUAUGCAACGAGCUUAUAACAGCACGCAUCUAGUAGUUAUAUGACCCCGGUCUCACCCCUUCAUUUCUCAAGGUUGACCUCGGAUCAGGUAGGAAUACCCGCUGAACUUAAGCAUAUCAAUAAGCGGAGGA